GCUUGCACCUUUCUCGUGAGUGGCGAACGGGUGAGUAACACGUGGACAACCUGCCUCAAGGCUGGGGAUAACAUUUGGAAACAGAUGCUAAUACCGAAUAAAACUUAGUGUCGCAUGACAAAAAGUUAAAAGGCGCUUCGGCGUCACCUAGAGAUGGAUCCGCGGUGCAUUAGUUAGUUGGUGGGGUAAAGGCCUACCAAGACAAUGAUGCAUAGCCGAGUUGAGAGACUGAUCGGCCACAUUGGGACUGAGACACGGCCCAAACUCCUACGGGAGGCUGCAGUAGGGAAUCUUCCACAAUGGGCGAAAGCCUGAUGGAGCAACGCCGCGUGUGUGAUGAAGGCUUUCGGGUCGUAAAGCACUGUUGUAUGGGAAGAACAGCUAGAAUAGGAAAUGAUUUUAGUUUGACGGUACCAUACCAGAAAGGGACGGCUAAAUACGUGCCAGCAGCCGCGGUAAUACGUAUGUCCCGAGCGUUAUCCGGAUUUAUUGGGCGUAAAGCGAGCGCAGACGGUUUAUUAAGUCUGAUGUGAAAGCCCGGAGCUCAACUCCGGAAUGGCAUUGGAAACUGGUUAACUUGAGUGCAGUAGAGGUAAGUGGAACUCCAUGUGUAGCGGUGGAAUGCGUAGAUAUAUGGAAGAACACCAGUGGCGAAGGCGGCUUACUGGACUGCAACUGACGUUGAGGCUCGAAAGUGUGGGUAGCAAACAGGAUUAGAUACCCUGGUAGUCCACACCGUAAACGAUGAACACUAGGUGUUAGGAGGUUUCCGCCUCUUAGUGCCGAAGCUAACGCAUUAAGUGUUCCGCCUGGGGAGUACGACCGCAAGGUUGAAACUCAAAGGAAUUGACGGGGACCCGCACAAGCGGUGGAGCAUGUGGUUUAAUUCGAAGCAACGCGAAGAACCUUACCAGGUCUUGACAUCCUUUGAAGCUUUUAGAGAUAGAAGUGUUCUCUUCGGAGACAAAGUGACAGGUGGUGCAUGGUCGUCGUCAGCUCGUGUCGUGAGAUGUUGGGUUAAGUCCCGCAACGAGCGCAACCCUUAUUGUUAGUUGCCAGCAUUCAGAUGGGCACUCUAGCGAGACUGCCGGUGACAAACCGGAGGAAGGCGGGGACGACGUCAGAUCAUCAUGCCCCUUAUGACCUGGGCUACACACGUGC
rnacentral:rRNA from 1 species